AUUGAACGCUGGCGGCAGGCCUAACACAUGCCAGUCGAGCGGAUGAAGGGAGCUUGCUCCUGGAUUCAGCGGCGGACGGGUGAGUAAUGCCUAGGAAUCUGCCUGGUAGUGGGGGAUAACGUCCGGAAACGGGCGCUAAUACCGCAUACGUCCUGAGGGAGAAAGUGGGGGAUCUUCGGACCUCACGCUAUCAGAUGAGCCUAGGUCGGAUUAGCUAGUUGGUGGGGUAAAGGCCUACCAAGGCGACGAUCCGUAACUGGUCUGAGAGGAUGAUCAGUCACACUGGAACUGAGACACGGUCCAGACUCCUACGGGAGGCAGCAGUGGGGAAUAUUGGACAAUGGGCGAAACCCUGAUCCAGCCAUGCCGCGUGUGUGAAGAAGGUCUUCGGAUUGUAAAGCACUUUAAGUUGGGAGGAAGGGCAGUAAGUUAAUACCUUGCUGUUUUGACGUUACCAACAGAAUAAGCACCGGCUAACUUCGUG
rnacentral:rRNA from 1 species